UUGAACGCUGGCGGCAGGCCUAACACAUGCAAGUCGAGCGGAUGAAGGGAGCUUGCUCCUGGAUUCAGCGGCGGACGGGUGAGUAAUGCCUAGGAAUCUGCCUGGUAGUGGGGGAUAACGUCCGGAAACGGGCGCUAAUACCGCAUACGUCCUGAGGGAGAAAGUGGGGGAUCUUCGGACCUCACGCUAUCAGCUGAGCCUAGGUCGGAUUAGCUAGUUGGUGGGGUAAAGGCCUAUCAAGGCGACGAUCCGUAACUGGUCUGAGAGGAUGAUCAGUCACACUGGAACUGAGACACGGACCAGACUCCUACGGGAGGCAGCAGUGGGGAAUGUUGGACAAUGGGCGAAAGCCUGAUCCAGCCAUGCCGCGUGCGUGAAGAAGGUCUUCGGAUUGUAAAGCACUUUAAGUUGGGAGGAAGGGCAGUAAGUUAAUACCUUGCUGUUUUGACGUUACCAACAGAAUAAGCACCGGCUAACUUCGUG
rnacentral:rRNA from 1 species